rnacentral:rRNA from 1 species
AGAGUUUGAUCCUGGCUCAGGACGAACGCUGGCGGCGUGCUUAACACAUGCAAGUCGAGCGGUAAGGCCUUUCGGGGUACACGAGCGGCGAACGGGUGAGUAACACGUGGGUGAUCUGCCCUGCACUUCGGGAUAAGCCUGGGAAACUGGGUCUAAUACCGGAUAUGACCUCCUAUCGCAUGGUGGGUGGUGGAAAGAUUUAUCGGUGCAGGAUGGGCCCGCGGCCUAUCAGCUUGUUGGUGGGGUAAUGGCCUACCAAGGCGACGACGGGUAGCCGACUUGAGAGGACGACCAGCCACACUGGGACUGAGACACGGCCCAGACUCCUACGGGAGGCAGCAGUGGGGAAUAUUGCACAAUGGGCGAAAGCCUGAUGCAGCGACGCCGCGUGAGGGAUGACGGCCUUCGGGUUGUAAACCUCUUUCAGCAGGGACGAAGCGCAAGUGACGGUACCUGCAGAAGAAGCACCGGCUAACUACGUGCCAGCAGCCGCGGUAAU